UACGUAGGGGCCGAGCGUUGUCCGGAAUUACUGGGCGUGAAGCGCGCGCAGGCGGCCCGCCGCGCCCGGCGUGAAAGCCCCCGGCUCAACCGGGGAGCGUCGCCGGGGACGGGCGGGCUUGAGGGCGGGAGGGGCCGGUGGAAUCCCUGGUGUAGUGGUGAAAUGCGUAGAGAUCAGGGGGAACACCCGUGGCGAAGGCGGCCGGCUGGCCCGACCCUGACGCUGAGGCGCGAAGGCGUGGGGAGCGAACGGG
rnacentral:rRNA from 1 species